UAGGGAAUCUUCGGCAAUGGGCGAAAGUCUGACCGAGCAACGCCGCGUGAGUGAAGAAGGUUUUCGGAUCGUAAAACUCUGUUGGUAGAGAAGAACGUUGGUGAGAGUGGAAAGCUCAUCAAGUGACGGUAACUACCCAGAAAGGGACGGCUAACUACGUGCAG
rnacentral:rRNA from 1 species